CCUACGGGUGGCUGCAGUCGAGAAUCUUCGGCAAUGAGCGCAAGCUUGACCGAGCGACGCCGUGUGCGGGAUGAAGGCCUUCGGGUUGUAAACCGCUGUCGUAGGGGAGGAAGGUCCGCCGAAGAGGCGGAUUUGACCUAUCCUAGGAGGAAGGACGGGCUAAGUACGUGCCAGCAGCCGCGGUAAUACGUACCGUCCUAACGUUAUUCGGAAUUACUGGGCUUAAAGGGUACGUAGGCGGCGCUGUCAGUCGGGUGUGAAAUCCCACGGCUCAACCGUGGAACUGCGCCCGAUACUGCAGUGCUUGAGGGAGACAGAGGUAAGCGGAACUGAUGGUGGAGCGGUGAAAUGCGUUGAUAUCAUCAGGAACACCAGUGGCGAAAGCGGCUUACUGGGUCUCUUCUGACGCUGAGGUACGAAAGCUAGGGGAGCGAAGGGGA
rnacentral:rRNA from 1 species